GGAUAGCUCAGUUGGUAGAGCAUGAGACUCUUAAUCUCAGGGUUGUGGGUUUGAGUCCCGUGUUGAGCA